CAGACGGCGGAGAGCUGGGAUGGAGCGCGCCUUGGCCCGCUGGCCUUGGCUGCAGCUCCUCGGGAGAGCCGGGGCGCCCACGCGAGAACCUCCCUACCUGAGGACGCUGGGAACACGGAUUCCUGGAUCCCACCAGCCUACGAAGAAAGCCACGGGCGGCGACCCCUGGGACCAGGACGACCAAGGAGGAGGACGACCAGAACUGACCAGCCAGCCCCCUUGGCUAAAGGCUUAGACCUGUGCCCUAGUGAGGGGGCAUUGGUCGCCAACCCCUGACCUUUGCUAUGCUUCUGCCUUGUUGCUCUGAUACUUGCCUCUAUGUCUCUGCCUGUGUUAACCUGCCAGCGCCCUGGAGGGUUGCCAUCCCCAGGGAGGUGUCAGUCUUUCUCGCUCCACUUGUUGUCGCCCGAAUGACGUCCUGAACGGAAGGGUCCCUUUGGGAACGUCUCGGGAGGCCGACCUGGGCCAAGGGCACAACCAGCAUCUCACUGGCAAUUCCAAGGCCCUGGGUGGGCUUCUGGAAUGAGCAUGAGCCCCGACGUCAUGCCAUGGAACUGCCAGGGGCACCCCCCCUCCUUUGAGCUCUCCCUGUCCCUCCUGGGGGGACAGGGACGAGAAGAGCAGUCUCCCAGGGGGUUGUGAGUAUUGAAUGAGAUGAAGUCGCCUCGGGCAGGGCCAGGCAUAGAGGAGGCAGUCGGCAAAUGUUUGUUGAUAAAGUUUGGCCGAUCAGUCCAGCCCCGGCCCGCUCCCGUGUCUCACCGUCUCAUUUAUUCUCCCACAGCACUCCGGAUGGCCCCUGGCCACGGGGCUCUGCCCGCACCAGCCAAGCUUCUCGAAAGGUCUGUCUUCACUCGCUGGCUUCCUUGCUCACCUCCAAUGUCCUCUCCAACCCACUGCUUCUUGACCUCUGCGCCGUCGAGCGGCUCUCGCGAAGGUCGGCCUGUCCUCGACGCACUGGCAGCGAGCGUCGGCUGAAGAACCGGAUGGAAGAGGCGGGAGAGUCACCACGGACCGGCGUUCCUUCAGGUCUGAAGCCAUCAUCUGUGUCCUCCGUCGGAAGGGACCUCAGACAUGUGGCUCCUGCACCCUCCAGCUCUGAAAUCGGCAGGCUAGGAUGCAAGUGGCCUUGCUGGGGGGCCCUUCCAAGGGCCGAGGGACCAGCCUCUCGAACGGGCUCGGCGCUCCAGUGACCUUCGCGUCCCCCUCCUCCUUGAAUUGUCUGGAAAACAGAAUGGACAGAUUUUCUGUCUUCAAAGUUUCCGGCUAAACCUCUUCAAAGUUCUUUAUUGUUUGGGACUGAGACACUCAGCAGUGCUAAUGGGUAGUUCCUUUUGUAUUUGCCCUGAAAGGCCAAAAUAUUUUUAUAUCGCUC
rnacentral:lncRNA from 1 species